rnacentral:rRNA from 1 species
GACGAACGCUGGCGGCGUGCUUAACACAUGCAAGUCGAACGGAAAGGCCCUGCUUUUGUGGGGUGCUCGAGUGGCGAACGGGUGAGCAACACGUGAGUAACCUGCCCUUGACUUUGGGAUAACUUCAGGAAACUGGGGCUAAUACCGGAUAGGAGCUCCUGCUGCAUGGUGGGGGUUGGAAAGUUUCGGCGGUUGGGGAUGGACUCGCGGCUUAUCAGCUUGUUGGUGGGGUAGUGGCUUACCAAGGCUUUGACGGGUAGCCGGCCUGAGAGGGUGACCGGCCACAUUGGGACUGAGAUACGGCCCAGACUCCUACGGGAGGCAGCAGUGGGGAAUAUUGCACAAUGGGCGGAAGCCUGAUGCAGCAACGCCGCGUGCGGGAUGACGGCCUUCGGGUUGUAAACCGCUUUCGCCUGUGACGAAGCGUGAGUGACGGGAAUGGGGAAAGAAGCACCGGCGAACUACGU